rnacentral:siRNA from 1 species
GUAAAAACCUUGUAGAAAGAAGUA